rnacentral:antisense_RNA from 1 species
CUUCACCGAGCCCAGCCACAACGGCCGACCGCCCGCGCGGCCCUGCCCGUACGUCGCCAGCAGCGCCUCUGCCUC